rnacentral:rRNA from 1 species
GAUGAACGCUAGCUACAGGCUUAACACAUGCAAGUCGAGGGGAAACGACAUCGAAAGCUUGCUUUUGAUGGGCGUCGACCGGCGCACGGGUGAGUAACGCGUAUCCAACCUGCCCAUCACUUGGGAAUAACCUUGCGAAAGUAAGACUAAUACCCAAUGAUAUCCCACGAAGGCAUCGGAAUGGGAUUAAAGAUUUAUCGGUGAUGGAUGGGGAUGCGUCUGAUUAGCUUGUUGGCGGGGUAACGGCCCACCAAGGCAACGAUCAGUAGGGGUUCUGAGAGGAAGGUCCCCCACAUUGGAACUGAGACACGGUCCAAACUCCUACGGGAGGCAGCAGUGAGGAAGAUUGGUCAAUGGGCGAGAGCCUGAACCAGCCAAGUAGCGUGCAGGAAGACGGCCCUAUGGGUUGUAAACUGCUUUUAUAAGGGAAUAAAGUGGGUCACGUGUGACUUUUUGCAGGUACCUUAUGAAUAAGGACCGGCUAAUUCCGUG